rnacentral:rRNA from 1 species
GGUGAGCUCGCGUCCGAUUAGAUAGUUGGUGAGGUAACGGCCCCACCAAAGUCAACGAUCGGGUAGCCGACCUGAGAGGGUGAUCGGCCACAUUGGAACUGAGAGACGGUCCAAACUCCUACGGGAGGCAGCAGUGGGGAAUAUUGGGCAAUGGGCGAAAGCCUGACCCAGCAACGCCGCGUGAGUGAAGAAGGCCUUCGGGUUGUAAAGCUCUGUUAUGCGAGACGAAGGAAGUGACGGUAUCGCAUAAGGAAGCCCCGGCUAACUACGUGCCAGCAGCCGCGGUAAUACGUAGGGGGCGAGCGUUGUCCGGWAUGACUGGGCGUAAAGGGCGUGUAGGCGGCCGUUUAAGUAUGGAGUGAAAGUCCAUUUUUAAGGAUGGAAUUGCUUUGUAGACUGGAUGGCUUGAGUGCGGAAGAGGUAAGUGGAAUUCCCAGUGUAGCGGUGAAAUGCGUAGAGAUUGGGAGGAACACCAGUGGCGAAGGCGACUUACUGGGCCGUAACUGACGCUGAGGCGCGAAAGCGUGGGGAGCGAACAGGAUUAGAUACCCUGGUAGUCCACGCGGUAAACGAUGAAUGCUAGGUGUUGCGGGUAUCGACCCCUGCAGUGCCGGAGUAAACACAAUAAGCAUUCCGCCUGGGGAGUACGGCCGCAAGGUUGAAACUCAAGGGAAUUGACGGGGGCCCGCACAAGCAGCGGAGCAUGUUGUUUAAUUCGAAGCAACGCGAAGAACCUUACCAGGUCUUGACAUCCAGUUAAGCUCAUAGAGAUAUGAGGUCCCUUCGGGGGAACUGAGACAGGUGGUGCAUGGUUGUCGUCAGCUCGUGUCGUGAGAUGUUGGGUUAAGUCCCGCAACGAGCGCAACCCUUAUGGUCAGUUACUAACGCGUGAAGGCGAGGACUCUGACGAGACUGCCGGGGACAACUCGGAGGAAGGUGGGGACGACGUCAAAUCAUCAUGCCCCUUAUGACCUGKGCUACAAACGUGCUACAAUGGUGACUACAAAGAGGAGCGAGACUGUAAAGUGGAGCGGAUCUCAAAAAAGUCAUCCCAGUUCGGAUUGUGGGCUGCAMCCCGCCCACAUGAAGUUGGAGUUGCUAGUAAUCGCGGAUCAGCAUGCCCGCGGUGAAUACGUUCCCGGGCCUUGUACACACCGCCCGUC